UGCAGAAUCCCGUGAACCAUCGAGUUUUUGAACGCAAGUUGCGCCCGAAGCCAUUAUGCCGAGGGCACGUCUGCCUGGGCGUCA
rnacentral:rRNA from 1 species